GGGCUUUACACAUGCUGGGCAAGUUUUCUACCAUUGAGCUAUAUCCCCUGCCCCAGCUCCAAUAAGAACCGUUGAUAUAUUGUACCUUAAAAAAUAUGUAGAUCUGUAACAGUGAAAGGCUUUAAUAACAAGCCUAGCAACAACAACACCUAUAUUAUGAUAUGUAAACACUACCACCCCCAAGAAAAUGAAGGACGACUCUUUUUUAAAUGGCUGACUAUGGGGUCUGGAGCAGAAAAGAGGUUUACUUGAAUAAAAGCACUGCAAUACAUCAAAAGUUGAUCUGAGACAGAUACUAAGCAGCUAAACAAGCAGGUAGUAUAUACAGCAUGAAUACACUGGACAACGGAUACACUGGGCAAGACAGAGGAGCACAGCACUUUACUACCCACAUCGGUGUUCAAUGUAAAGCAUGAGUCAUUUAUUUCUACAUUUUUCCAUGUAAUAAUUGUGGAUUUCACUUGACUAUGGGGAACUGAAACCAUGGAAAGAGCAUCUGCAGAUAAGGAAGGACUACUGUACUCACUUAAAAAUUAAGAAACCUACAGAUUUGCAAAGUUGUGUAAACCCAAAUAGAAUAAAACCAAAGAAAUAUACUCUAAAAUGUAUCAUAUGUGAACUUUUAAAAAUCACAAACAAAAAAUCUGGAAAGCAGCUAGAGAGAAAUGAUACCUUACUUAUAAGGGGGAAAAUUCACAUGACAGCAGAGUUUACAUCAGAAACCAUGGAGGCUAUAAGAAAGGGGCACACAGGAUUUUUCAAGAACUGAACAAAAGAACUAUGAACCCAGAAUCCCAUAUCCAACAAAAACAUCCUUCAGGAAUGAAGAGGAGAAAUCAAGGCAUUCUCAGAUGAAGGAAAACUAGGUAUUUGCUGCCAGUAGACUUACCCUGGAAGAGCAAUUAAAGGAAAUUCUCUAAUCUGAAAGGAAAUGAUAAAAGAAAGAAUCUUGGAACAUCAGGAAGGAAGAAAGAACAUGCUGAGAAAAUAUGAAUAAAUACAAUAGACUUUCCUUACUUCACCACUUGAAUUCUCAAAAUUAUGUCUGCAGUCAUAAAAUAUAUCUUCAUUGUAGAGGUAGGUAUGUGAAUAUAAAAUGUGAUUAAAAGUGGCAUAAAACUAUACACAGACACAUUGUACCAAUGCCAAUUUCUGGACUGUGAUAAAGUACUUUGGUUACCUAAGAUGUAACCAUUGGGGGUGAACGGUACAUGGAACCUCUCUGUACUACCUUUGCAAGUUCCUGGAAAUCUGCAUUUUUAAAUGUUCUUUUAAGUGUCUAAUCAAACUAGGCUAUUUUCUAAUGUGAGGCAAAUUCAAACAAAUCCUAUAAAUAAAAGUUACAGGCAGCCA